UACGUAGGGGGCAAGCGUUGUCCGGAUUCAUUGGGCGUAAAGAGCGUGUAGGCGGCCAGGUAGGUCGGUUGUGAAAACUGGAGGCUCAACCUUCAGAGGUCGACCGAAACCAUCUGGCUAGAGUCCGGGAGAGGAGAGUGGAAUUCCUGGUGUAGCGGUGAAAUGCGCAGAUAUCAGGAGGAACACCUAUAGCGAAGGCAGCUUGCUGGGACGAUACUGACGCUAAGGCUCGAAAGCGUGGGGAGCGAACAGG
rnacentral:rRNA from 1 species